rnacentral:misc_RNA from 1 species
CCCAACUAUCCCUAUUAAUCAUUACGACGGUCCCGGAAACCAACAAAAUAGAACCAUCGUCCUAUUUCAUUAUUCCAUGCUAAUGUAUUCAAGCGUCGGAGCCCGCUUUGAGCACUCUAAUUUUUUCAAGGUAAAGGUCCUGGUUCCCGCAGACACCAAAUAAAUGGCAUCUACGCUCGCCAGAAGGUGAGACCCGCGGCGAGGCAGUGCUCGCCCAGAGGACGGACCACCCGCACGGGCCUAAGGUUCAACUACGAGCUUUUUAACUGCAACAACUUUAAUAUACGCUAUUGGAGCUGGAAUUACCGCGGCUGCUGGCACCAGACUUGCC